GCCCGCGCGGGCAAAGCGACUGCAAUGGAAAAUUCCCUUAAGGCCAUUUUCCAUUGCGGUCGCUUUGCUCGCGCGGGC